rnacentral:rRNA from 1 species
GACGAACGCUGGCGGCGUGCUUAACACAUGCAAGUCGAACGAUGAUGCUGGGGCUUGCUCCAGUUGAUUAGUGGCGAACGGGUGAGUAACACGUGAGCAAUCUGCCCUUGACUCUGGGAUAACUGCGGGAAACUGUAGCUAAUACCGGAUACUUUCACCGGAAGGCAUCUUCUGGUGAUGAAAGAAUUUCGGUCAGGGAUGAGCUCGCGGCCUAUCAGCUUGUUGGUGAGGUAACGGCUCACCAAGGCGACGACGGGUAACCGGCCUGAGAGGGUGACCGGUCACACUGGGACUGAGACACGGCCCAGACUCCUACGGGAGGCAGCAGUGGGGAAUAUUGCACAAUGGGCGCAAGCCUGAUGCAGCAACGCCGCGUGGGGGAUGAAGGCCUUCGGGUUGCAAACCUCUUUUAGCAGGGAAGAAGCGAAAGUGACGGUACCUGCAGAAAAAGCACCGGCUAACUACGUGCCAGCCGCCGCAGUAA